UGGCCGAGGAUGAGAACUCUAUCCUGAUUGAAUACGCUUCUGCACUGAUGGGUUAAAGGAUUUACCUGAGGCCA